rnacentral:tRNA from 1 species
UCCAUGGUGGCUCAGGUGGUAAAGCAUCUGCCUGCAGCACAGGAGACCCAGGUUCGAUCCCUGGGUUGGGAA